AUUGAACGCUGGCGGCAGGCCUAACACAUGCAAGUCGAGCGGAGCGGCGGACGGGUGAGUAAUGCCUAGGAAUCUGCCUGGUAGUGGGGGAUAACGUCCGGAAACGGGCGCUUAUACCGCAUACUAUCAGAUGAGCCUAGGUCGGAUUAGCCAGUUGGUGGUGUAAAGGCGUACAAAGGCGACGAUCCGGAACUUGUCUGAGAGGAUGAUCAGUCACACUGGAACUGAGAAACGGUCCAGACUCCGACGGGAUGCAGCAGUGGGGAAUAUUGGACAAUGGGUGAAAGCAUGAACCAGCCAUGCCGCGUGUGUGAAGAAGGUCUUCGGAUUGUAAAGCACUUUAAGUUGGGAGGCGUUACCAACAGAAUAAGCACCGGCGAACUUCGUGCCAGCAGCCGCGGUAAUA
rnacentral:rRNA from 1 species